rnacentral:sRNA from 1 species
GCCAGGAGUGGUGAUGCACACCUGUAGUUCCAGCUGUUCAGAGGCUAAGUCAGGAGGCUCACUUGAACCCAGCAGUUCAAGACCACCCUGGACAACAGAGUUGAGAGCUUGUCUUUA